CUGGGCCGUGUCAGAGGUUUAGGCCUGGUUCUUGAGCUCCUGGAGCCUAGACACACAUAUAUAUGCCUUUUAAACUAUAGUCUAUCAGGCUCAAAGUGUGCGCACUUUAUUUUUGAUCAUGCCACCUGUGACACUUAGAAUAUUGCUACUAUGGGACAUUUUUUAAAAGUCUAUUUUAGAGGUUCAUAUUUUAUUUCAUGUUUUAACUUGGUUUCUUUUUUAGAUGUUUUACUUCAGAGUUAAGUUCUUUUUUUUUUUUUUUUUUAACUGAGAUAAUGUUGCAAAAAACCCAUUACCUAUACUUAGUGUUCUGUAGUGUCCAUGGCCUGUCAAGAGAACAGCGUUGGCGUUGAGCUCUCAUUAAUUUUCUAGAGACUGUGCUGGGAAACUUACCUCAGAAAUAAAGAAAAGGCCUUGAGCCUUUAGGUUUGGUACCUACCCUUGCUACCUUCAUUAUUCUGUGGGCUCCUGACCUUCAGUCUUUGCUAUGUCCCUCUUCUGCUCCCCAGUGGCUUCAGGCUUGCUUCUGCUACCACUACCUAUGUCUCUCCUUUCCAUCAGAUUCCAUCAGCAACAUGAAGGCUGCCCACCACCCUCGUCCUGAAAGCACCAUGUGCUUUUCCACAGCAUCAUUGUGCAUGAAUGGAACUUCAGAUUUACUGGAAGCUACACUUCACAACCUUCUCUCAGACUUUUGCCUUUUCCAGAAUGUCACACCAUCAAAUAAUGCACAAAGCUAAGGAAGAGUCUUGCUUCUUCAUUUUGAGGAAUCAAUGAGAUUUUAAGUUGAAGUCCAAGAUAAGUACGUACUAUUCCACUUCUAUGAUUUCCUAAGAAGCUUAUCAAAAU
rnacentral:lncRNA from 12 species